UACGAAGGGGGCUAGCGUUGCUCGGAAUCACUGGGCGUAAAGGGUGCGUAGGCGGGUCUUUAAGUCAGGGGUGAAAUCCUGGAGCUCAACUCCAGAACUGCCUUUGAUACUGAGGAUCUUGAGUACGGGAGAGGUGAGUGGAACUGCGAGUGUAGAGGUGAAAUUCGUAGAUAUUCGCAAGAACACCAGUGGCGAAGGCGGCUCACUG
rnacentral:rRNA from 1 species